rnacentral:lncRNA from 1 species
CGUUGUGUUGUCCAACCUGAAUGUUGCCAUUCACCCCAGCCACCCCAUGUUGGAGCAUCUUCAUCAUAUGUAUCCGGCUGCUGUACCCAAGCAGAGCCGGGGUGAUCAUGCAUGCCAACUGGUGAAGGACUUGCGUCUCCACCAAUGUAAGCAUCAUUGUGCCUUAUUUCUUCUUCUUCUUCUUCGUCUUCUUGUUCUCUUUCCA